rnacentral:rRNA from 1 species
CAACCUCUGUAAACGGAGGACAAAACGCAUUAUGGGCAUGUAAUAAAGAUGCCUAGACAACCGAAAGGUGUGAGAGAAUAAGGGGCCAUCCCAUCAGUUAGUAAGUAAGGUAAAGGCCUACUUAGACGAAGACGGGUACGGGGAAUUAUUGUUCGAUUCCGGAGAGGGAGCCUGAGAGAUGGCUACCAGGUCCAAGGAUAGCAGCAGGCGCGAAAAUUACCGAAGCCUAAAGUAGGGCGGUAGUAAUGAAACGUGAAAACGAAGUACUGAUAAAAGAGGUACUAGUGACUGGAGGUAAAGACUGGUGCCAGCAUCCGCGGUAAUACCAGCUCCAGGAGUGUCUAUGAUGAUUGUUGCAAUUAAAGAGUUCGUAGUCGAGUAGCAUGACAGGUCUUUAAAGUGGUGGAUCAAACGACGACCAGGAUCUGAAAAGCUAAGAAUGAGGAGCGAUCAGGGGCUAGUUUAUUAAGCGACGAAAGGUGAAAUUUGAUGACUCGCUUAGGAGAAACAGAGGCGAAGGCGCUAGCCAGGAGCGAAUCCGAUGAUAAAGGACGUAGGCUAGAGGAUCGAAGACGAUUAGAGACCGUUGUAGUUCUAGCAGUAAACGAUGCCGACGCUGUGCUAUUAGAAGUAGUGCGGAAGAGAAAUCGAGUAGGGCCUUGGGGAGAGUACAUACGCAAGUAAGAAACUUAAACGAAAUUGACGGAAGAACACCACAAGGAGUGGAGUGUGCGGCUUAAUUUGACUCAACGCGGGACAGCUUACCAAGCCCGACGACUGGACGAGUGUAGUACACGAUAGGUCGGAGAGUGGUGCAUGGCCGUUAACGACAAGUGGGGUGACCUUAUGGUUAAGUCCGGGAAGUAGUGAGACCCCUGCUAGCGGAAGACGAGACGAGCUAGGACAGGUACGCAAAGUACAGGAAGGAAGGGUCAAGAACAGGUCAGUGAUGCCCUCAGAUGGCUUGGGCUGCACGCGCAC